rnacentral:tRNA from 1 species
GCCGAAGUAGCUCAGCUGGUAGAGCAGCUGAUUUGUAAUCAGCAGGUCGGGGGUUCGAUUCCCUUCUUCGGCU